GACGAACGCUGGCGGCGUGCCUAAUACAUGCAAGUUGAGCGAUGAAGAUUGGUGCUUGCACCAAUUUGAAGAGCAGCGAACGGGUGAGUAACGCGUGGGGAAUCUGCCUUUGAGCGGGGGACAACAUUUGGAAACGAAUGCUAAUACCGCAUAACAACUUUAAACAUAAGUUUUAAGUUUGAAAGAUGCAAUUGCAUCACUCAAAGAUGAUCCCGCGUUGUAUUAGCUAGUUGGUGAGGUAAAGGCUCACCAAGGCGAUGAUACAUAGCCGACCUGAGAGGGUGAUCGGCCACAUUGGGACGGAGACACGGCCCAAACUGCUACGGGAGGCAGCAGUAGGGAAUCGUCGGCAAUGGACGAAAGUCUGACCGAGCAACGCCGCGUGAGGGAAGAAGGAUGUCGGAUCGUAAAACUCUGUUGGUAGAGAAGAACGUUGGUGAGAGUGGAAAGCUCAUCAAGUGACGGUAACUACCCAGAAAGGGACGGCUAACUACGUG
rnacentral:rRNA from 1 species